rnacentral:rRNA from 1 species
CCCUUAGAUGUCCUGGGCUGCACGCGCGCUACACUGAUGUGUCCAGUAAGCACCUAACCUCUUCCGAAAGGAACGGGUAACCUUUGCAAAGCACAUCGUGAUGGGGAUAGAUUAUUGCAAUUAUUAGUCUUGAACGAGGAAUUCCUAGUAAGCACAAGUCAUCAGCUUGUGUUGAUUACGUCCCUGCCCUUCGUACACACCGCCCGUCGCUCCUACCGAUUGAAUGUUCCGGUGAGCUCUUCGGACUGCGCGGUCUGCAGUUUCUGCGUUCCGUGCGGAAAGUUGCGCAAACCUUAACAUUUAGAGGAAGGAGAAGUCGUAACA